rnacentral:ribozyme from 16 species
AAUAAAAAGAACCCAAAAAUAAAAACAAAAACAAAAAAGAAAUAAAAAAAUGGGACACAUAUAUGUUCGCUGCU